rnacentral:misc_RNA from 1 species
GAAAUGCGAUAACUAGUGUGAAUUGCAGAAUUCCGUGAAUCAUCGAGUCUUUGAACACACAUUGCGCCCCCUGGUAUUCCGGGGGGCAUGCCUGUCCGAGCGUCAUUGCUGCCCAUCAAGCACGGCUUGUGUGUUGGGUCGUCGUCCCCUCUCCGGGGGGGACGGGCCCCAAAGGCAGCGGCGGCACCGCGUCCGAUCCUCGAGCGUAUGGGGCUUUGUCACCCGCUCUGUAGGCCCGGCCGGCGCUUGCCGAACGCAAAUCAAUCUUUUUCCAGGUUGACCUCGGAUCAGGUAGGGAUACCCGCUGAACUUAAGC